CAAUAGCGUAUAUUAAAGUUGUUGCAGUUAAAAAGCUCGUAGUCGAAUUUUUGCUUGCCGCCGAUGUCGGAACUUCCGUACGUUCGGCGGCGUGCAUCCUUGGGUGGAACCUGUGUGGCAUUAGGUUGUCGUGCAGGGGAUGCUCAUCGUUUACUGUGAAAAAAUUAGAGUGUUCAAAGCAGGCUUACGCCGUUGAAUAUAUUAGCAUGGAAUAAUAAGAUAGGACCUUGGUACUAUUUUGUUGGUUUGCGCACCGAGGUAAUGAUUAACAGGGACAGUUGGGGGUAUUCGUAUUCCAUUGUCAGAGGUGAAAUUCUUGGAUUUCUGGAAGACGAACUACUGCGAAAGCAUUUACCAAGGAUGUUUUCAUUAA
rnacentral:rRNA from 1 species